GAGAAUCUGACCAGUCCCAGCUCUUUUGCCAGGGCACACGUUUCCAAGGGCAUGGGCCAGCCACUGGACAGGCCCUCUUCGGGUGAGCGAUGGCAAAAUAUAGGGUCCCUCCUAAGAACAGUCAUUAGGAGAGCAGCAGCUGUGAGGGCUGAUUAGCCUAGAAGGGAACAUUGGAUGUGUCAGCCAAUCCUCUAGCACAACAGAAUUAACAUAAAACAAGCAUUUUGGAUGAGGGAUACUCAACCUGCACUGUUACUCACUGGAGAGCGUCUGAGUGACCCACAGACUCACACCCCUUCUUACCCACCUCAUCUGCGGGGAGGCGGACCAGGACAUGUAGAGCAAGAUGAGGAAGAGCAGCACCACGAAGGCAGCCAGGCUCACCCAGAAUGCGAUCACGAUGGAAUCUGCGGGAGGAGGAGAUGCAUCUCAGCGCUGGGUUAUGUCAACAUAAAGCAACGCUGAGGGGCAGUAAGGAGUCCCAGGGUAUUGUGGAAUGAGGGCCCUGAGUUUCGGUUGUCCUCCAGCCUCUCAGCUGUUACCAUGGGGAAGAUCUCCCAUUAACAAUAACUUUGGGAAAGAUAAUUUUUUUACAGUUAAUUUGCUCAAAUUGGGAGCAAGUAAGGGCCAUGUGUUGCAAUUGCUUGAUGGGAGAUGUGUCUCUGAAGUCUUGUUAAAUUUACAGACCUUCUUCGGUGACGACCGCCUUCCCUGUGGCCCUAGAUGAGCACAAGGGCAGUCUGUGUGUGGGAUCCCUUCCCAUUCACGCUCCACCCUGCUCUUGACCAUGGUGAACUUGUAUGGAUUACAUCAAUAUGCUACGUGCCCUGUGGAUUCUGGCUGGAUAUGGGCAAUGGCGAGUUCCAGCAGGAAACUGGAGGGACAGAAGAGAGCGAGGUCAGAGAAUUUAAUCUCCUGCCUCCCUCCCUAUGAGGUCACCCCAGCUGGUGACUGUGACCCUGGAUGGAAGGUGAUUGUCUCAAGGUGGUCUGCUCUUCGCAACUCUCCUUCUUUCUGGU
rnacentral:lncRNA from 1 species